rnacentral:rRNA from 1 species
GCCCGGGAACUCGCAAAAUGACACCGUAACUUCGGGAGAAGGUGUGCCCUCUGUACGUGAAGCCCCUUGCGGGUGGAGCGGAAGAGGGUUGCAGAGAAACGGGGGUAGCGACUGUUUACCAAAAACCCAGCACUGUGCGAAGUCGGAAGACGACGUAUACGGUGUGAUGCCUGCCCGGUGCCGGAAGGUUAAGGGGAGUUGUCAGCCGCAAGGCAAAGCAGCGAACCGAAGCCCCGGUAAACGGCGGCCGUAACGAUAACGGUCCUAAGGUAGCGAAAUUCCUUGUCGGGUAAGUUCCGACCUGCACGAAUGGCAUAACGACUUCCCCACUGUCUCGAGCAGGGACUCAGCAAGUAGCACUAGGGGUGAAGAUACCCUUUACCCGCGGCAGGACGGAAAGACCCCGUGAACCUUUACUGUAACUUGGCACUGAACUUCGGGUUCGUUUGCGUAGGAUAGGUGGGACGCUAGGAAGCAUGGACUCCGGUCUGUGUGGAGCGGCCGUUGAAAUACCACCCUGACGAAUCUGGAGUUCUAACCUGCACCCGUGAGCCGGGUGGGGGACAAUGCCUGGUGGGCAGUUUGACUGGGGCGGUCGCCUCCCAAAGAGUAACGGAGGCGCGCGAAGGUUCCCUCAGGCUGAUUGGAAACCAGCCGACGAGUGUAAUGGCAUAAGGGAGCUUGACUGCGAGACUGACAAGUCGAGCAGGUGCGAAAGCAGGUCAUAGUGAUCCGGUGGUUCUGAAUGGAAGGGCCAUCGCUCAACGGAUAAAAGGUACUCCGGGGAUAACAGGCUUAUCACGCCCAAGAGUUCACAUCGACGGCGUGGUUUGGCACCUCGAUGUCGGCUCAUCGCAUCCUGGGGCUGAAGUUGGUCCCAAGGGUUUGGCUGUUCGCCAAUUAAAGCGGUACGCGAGCUGGGUUCAAAACGUCGUGAGACAGUUUGGUCCCUAUCCGCCGUGGGCGCAGGACGCUUGAGAGGAUCUGUCCUUAGUACGAGAGGACCGGGAUGGACGGACCGCUAGUGUUCCGGUUGUGGCGCCAGCUGCAAUGCCGGGUAGCUAUGUUCGGAAGGGAUAACCGCUGAAAGCAUCUAAGCGGGAAGCCCACCUCGAGAUAAGGCGUCCCUGAGACUUCGGUCUCCUGAAGACCCCAUGUAGACCACGUGGUUGAUAGGCUGGGUGUGGAAGCGCUGCAAGGCGCGGAGCUAACCAGUACUAAUCGGUCGUGAGGCUUGACCAC